rnacentral:rRNA from 1 species
GACGAACGCUGGCGGCGUGCCUAACACAUGCAAGUCAACUUGACUGAAGGAGCAAUCUGACAGUAGAGUGGCGCAAGGGUGCGUAACGCGUAAGUAACUUGCCCAAGGUAAGGAAUAACGUCGAGAAAUCGGCGCUAAUACCUCAUAAUGCAGCGGAUCCGCAUGGAUAUGUUGUUAAAGGUUUACCGCCUUGGGAUAGGCUUGCGUCUGAUUAGCUAGUUGGUGUGGUAACGGCACACCAAGGCUACGAUCAGUAACUGGUCUGAGAGGAUGAUCAGUCACACUGGAACUGAGACACGGUCCAGACUCCUACGGGAGGCAGCAGUGAGGAAUAUUGGGCAAUGCUCGAAAGAGUGACCCAGCAACGCCGCGUGGAGGAUGAAGGUAUUCUAUAUCGUAAACUCCUGUGAGAGCAGACGAAGACAGAUUAUUAAUCUGGAUGACUGUAUGCUCAGAGGAAGCCCCGGCUAACUACGU